AUUUUUACUAGUCAGCCCCAAUAAUUGUUUACAACAGAUUAUUAUAGACCAAACACUGAAAUGAAUCACAUAAUUAGAAAAGAAAAAUAAAAAAGUUACACUAUAGAGAUCAUGAAAAGAAGCCCAGAUUUUCAGCACCUCAUUAGGACUUCCUCUCUGAGUUAUGUAAUAAAUCUAACUCCAACACCUCAAAUGCCAAGAUUGUUUCAUAGCCUUUCUCGUAUCUUGUGUAUCAGAGUUCCCUAAGGACUUCAAGCGAUAUCGGGAAGUGCUUACACCCAGGUUUCAUAGCCAAGGCAGAUUAAGUGCAGUUUGGAAGGGUCAACAUUCAUGUGUCCAAGUUCAGAGGGAGCUCAAGAGUCCCAAGGUAAGGCUCACACAAAAGGGGCAGAACUUAGUGGUCUAAGAGUAGAGUAAGAGUGCUUGACAUGGUUUUGAAAAGGUAUAAGCAGGACAACAAUAUUAAGAAAAGACUUGUUUGAAAUAGUUUUGUGAAAACAAUAGGGGGAGUUGUUCAAUAGGACAGUUUUGAAAAGAGCGAGGAGUAACAAGCAAUGUUCCAACUACAGCACCUAGAACAUGUUCGCACAUAACAAAGGAACAUAGGACCAAUGCAGGUUCAGCAACCACAAACAAGGGUAGUAUGAUUAAGGGACACGUAGGUUACAUAAGUAAACAAAUAGUUGCAAGAGUGCUUAAGUAUGGAAUCAGCAAUAUGCUGAGGAGUUAGAGAACACAAAAUCAUGUAACUUGAGGAUAGCCUACUAUUUUUUGCACAGAGAGGUUCAUGCUAGAAAUAAAAGAAAACACAAGUAAAGAAGGGUCACAUUGAGGUAUAUUAGGAAGGGAAUAAAAAUUUUAUAAACAUGAUGAGUCUAAGGGAAGGGAAGGUGAGACAUUCAGAAGCAUGCUAAUGAAGUGAUGAAGCAAACAUAUCAAUUAGAAGUUGAAUCAAUAGAACCAUAAGUGAAAAUAUACUAGAAACAAGAUGAAAUGAAGCAGUAAAAGAAACACAUUAUUUUGAAACUUGAAUUGAAAUCAGAACAUACCAGUAAAGAAGCAAACACAACGUGAGGGGGCAAGAAAGUAGAGUAAUCAGCCUUGGCUUGCAGUUGGCUGACAUAGAACAAUAGCAAAUAACCAGAGAAAAGAGAGAGCAGAAGAAUAUUUUCUUUUUGUGUGAGAGAUGGUUUUGAACCACUGUGUUUGUGUGUAAUGAAAAUGGAAGUGAGUAUAUAUAAUAGUUUGAAAGCUAGGUAGAAAAUAAGGCAAGAACUAUAGUUCAGCAACAAUUAUGAAACUACGUACUAAUUAGAAUCAAGUCAGUUUAAGUACUUCCCUUUAAUUAAGGAGUUAAGUAACAAAAUAAGGAAAGAAAUCAAUGCACGACCAAUAAGGACAAACUUCAAAUACAGCAGGUAUAAGGUAAAAAUUAGUGCUAAUUUCAUAAGGUUGUAAUUAAGGAAAUAGCAUAAGAUUCAAUCAAUAGCAUAGGCAAUCAUGUAAUAAGGCAAGAAAAUGAAUUAAAGGUCGUAAAUCAGCAAGGGUAUCAAUCACAGGAAAUUAGUAAAGCAUAUCAAUCAUAGGAGAUCCGGGAUUUAACUAAAAUAGUACUAAUUAGAAGAAAUCACCACAAAUUUCCAUCAGCGAACAAAGUAAACACGAUAUAGGCUGGAGAAGCAAAAUCAGAAACCCAAAUUAGCAUGAGGAGGUAGAAAAUCAUAGAAACUCAAAACAUAUGCACGAGAAACAGGUAUACAUAAAAAUUAGAUACGCAAAGACAGUUUUAGAACCCGGAUAAAACAAAAACAAUUAGGGUUUUCAACAUGAUGAAUCAGGUGAAAGAAAAACUUAAAUAAACCGUCUAAACAUAGUAAAAAUCAUAUGAUAAUACUGUAAAAUUAGAAAAGUAGUCAUUUAAAAGGGGUUAAGAAACUAUAGUAUUUAAGGCGAAGAGUUACUUUAGAAAAAUUGAAAAAAAACUUAGAGGAAAACACAAAAGCUCAUAAUAUACACAGAUCUAAAAGAAAUUGGAAAAUAUAAAGAGUUCGGGUUUUAGAGAACCCAACGAAGAAGAGAAACCGUAAAAUAUUAUCGAUUUUAGCAGGAAAAGUCAUAAAUCUUACUCGAACGGCCGGAGGAGGUCGAAAAAUGGCAUGAAGUACUAUGGGUAGGAGUUGAACCACUCCAGGUUCACUUGAGGAACUCACAGUAGUGUCAAACCGCGAGGGGUGAAGUAGAGGCCAAGAGAUGAUGAGAGGACAUGGUUUCCGGUGAUGGGCUGCCUGGAGAAGGUGGACAGGGUCCAUCAGAGAGGAGGGGAGGAGAGAAGGUUCUAGAGAGAACCAGAGAUAGAGAGACCGGUUG
rnacentral:lncRNA from 1 species